GACAGAGGGUGUAAACGUUGCUCGGAAUCACUGGGCGUAAAGGGCGUGUAGGCGGGAAGGAUAGUCAGAUGUGAAAGCCCUGGGCUCAACCCAGGAACUGCAUUUGAAACUCCCUUUCUUGAGUGUCGGAGAGGAAAGCGGAAUUCCUGGUGUAGAGGUGAAAUGCGCAGAUAUCAGGAGGAACACCGGUGGCGAAGGCGGGUCUCUGGGCAGUAACUGACGCUGAGGAGCGAAAGCGUGGGGAGCGAACAGG
rnacentral:rRNA from 1 species